rnacentral:lncRNA from 1 species
UUCUCGCCCAGACCCUGCGCAGGAUGAGGAGAUGCUGCUGGAUGGCAAGAAAGUUCUGGUGUGCCAGGGCAAGCCCAUCCCCAUGGCUGCCUACAAGGACUCCUCCUUCAGCCAGAGCGAGUACCUCAUCUACCAGGAAAGCCAGUGCCGCAUCCGCUACCUUGUCCAGCUCCGGUUCUGAGGGUGCCUGGACACCCUGUGACCCCAUCCCAGCACCAGCUGGCGAUGCCCACCAGCCCACAGCACGGUGAUCUUGACUCCCCGGCCACCCCACCUGGGGCUUGGUAAGGGAGAGGCUGGCGUUGGUGACAGAACCUGCUUUUACCGUGAAUAAAAACAGUGUGCCUUGUACCAGGUGAUGCUGUCACUCUCCUGCCUGGCCAGGUGGGAGCGGAGCAGGGAAGGGUGGUGGUGGGUCCCUGCAGGGACGGUGGUGGGUGGCUCUGGAGGGGCUGCAGCCUGUUGUGGCUGUCUGGUGAAAGCUGGUGGCUUUGCGAGCCAGGUGCUCUUGUCACCUUCGCAAGGCGUGUGGCUCGUCCCCGUCACCGUGGUGUCAGAACUACAGAGGAUGAGCAAGGUGUGCUGCCCUGCCUGGGCAUGGAGGACCUCAUCCAUGGCCAAGCAAGAGGUGUGUCUGCCCUCCCUCUGGUGCCAUGCUUGGUGCCAUGCCUGCUGCCGUGCCGCAGCGUGGCAUCCAUGACAAACCCCUCUCCAUGUUCCCAUGUGCCCCCCGAGCAUGUGUCCAGGACCCCGGGGUGGCAGGGAAAGGAAAUUCCCAUCUGCGUUGUCCCAGUGCCCCAUGGAUGCUCCAGAGCACCCAUGGGCUGGCGGGGAGGAGACACCUCACACCCACCUGUAGGUCUGUCCCCUGAGCCCUGGGGACCUCGGGGCUGAGCCGUCCUUGCAGACGGACCAGGCCUGGCAUGGCGUGUGGCCAUGCUGGGGGGGGGGGGGGGGGGGGGGGGGGGGGGGGGGGGGGGGGGGGGGGGGGGGGGGGAGUGGGGUGGCACAGGGGUAGAGGACCCCCGGUCCCCCCUUCCCGAGCCCCCGCCGGCUGCUAGGACCCAGCAGCUGUCCCCGUGGGACCGCCACGAGUGCAGGCAGCGCCCGGGAGUGACAGCUGGUGCCAUCCGCAGCUGGCGGGCUGCAGGCAAACAGGAUGACGAGCGGGUGACGGGGCGCGGGGAAGGGGAAGGGGGGUGGUGGUGGGGGGAGCGUGGCCUGGCGCGGGGGCCGGCAGCCCCUUUUCUGCUGCGGGAGCGACGCCGGCAAGAAGGGUCCCCGGCGAGGAGGGGGAGCAUCGCCCACUUUCCCAGGAGCAAAGAGGCAAGAAGAAGACAGCAGCCAUGGCUCUGGUGGGGUUUCCCCCUAAGGGAUGCAGGAGAAGAGCCCUUGCUGCCUGGGCACCGGAGCUACUGGCUUAGCCCUCCCUGGGGAUGGCAAGCCGAAUGG